CGCUGACGCCGCCGCCGGACGCGCUCCAGCUUCCUCCGCGCCGCGCCCACGUAGGCAGGCUGCUUCAGGAGCUCCAGGUGCUGGGGAGUUUAUUCUCCGGUCCGAGACAGCAAAAGAAGAGAGAAGCUUCCGAAGGCGAACAGGUCCCCCGCAGGAGUUUGCCCUGGAUGCCUGGAGGCCCGGGUUGGUUCGGCAGUAAAUGACCGUUCAUAUUUCUUUAAAGUACCCCAGAUUCUCAAGUCCUGGGCUGUUCCCUCCUAGGGCCAACCUCUCCCCCACACCCACCCCGCCCCCAACUAGGACUAGGUGGUGGUGGUGACUAUUUCAUGGAGGACAAGAUAACUUUCAUUAAUAGCUUCGUUUUAUUCAAAUGCCAAAACAAAGUUCCAAGGUACAAAUUGUAGUUACACUGCAUUUGUGUUUGAUUUAAAAACAUCGAUCACAAUGUUAUAAACAACUUCCAAAAACUAAAUGCAAGUUGUUUUCUGUUGUCACUUAUUGUCUCCCCGUCCAUUUCUGGAGGAUUAUCCUCAAAAGAAUUAAAAUCUACUUCGAUUUUCCCCACUCUACAAAAAGGAAAAUUAUACAAUAAAAGGAAAGUAAUGAAUGAAGUUACAACGCAGUAUCAAGGACUUCUUGAAAGUAACUUUAACCAUUACUGAGGAGACUUGUAGGAUUCUUGUUCCUGCUCAUUGCUACAUAAACCUGACUUGUGCAUCUCUGUACCUAUCCCAUUCAUAGAUAAAUAUUUCACAACUCUCCUAUUAUCUAAGUCAUGUAAAGCCCUAAUUAAGUCACCACUUCAGUACAAGACGAGGACUUAAACUUGUUAAGGGCUUAAUGUUUUUUCUUCCUGACAAAGUGCAUGAGGAAAAUCCUUAUUUUUAGAAAGCAGGCUGAAGGUUGAAAAUAAAGAUUUAAAUCAGUGUUAAAUU